rnacentral:tRNA from 1 species
GGAGAGAUGGCCGAGUGGUUUAAGGCGUAGCAUUGGAACUGCUAUGUAGGCUUUUGUUUACCGAGGGUUCGAAUCCCCCUCUUUCCG